UCUGGUUGAUCCUGCCAGUAGUCAUAUGCUUGUCUCAAAGAUUAAGCCAUGCAUGUCUAAGUAUAAAUAGUAUACAGUGAAACUGCGAAUGGCUCAUUAAAACAGUUAUAGUUUAUUUGAUAAUUGACAAUUACAUGGAUAACCGUGGUAAUUCUAGAGCUAAUACAUGCUUAAACGCCCGACUUUAUGGAAGGGUGGUAUUUAUUAGACUGAAGCCAAUAUUCCUUGUGUCUAUUGCGGUGAUUCAUAAUAACUGAUCGAAUCUCUUUUUGAGAUAAAUCAUUCAAGUUUCUGCCCUAUCAGCUUUCGAUGGUAGUGUAUUGGACCACCAUGGCAGUAACGGGUAACGAAGAAUUAGGGUUCGAUUUCGGAGAGGGAGCAUGAGAAACGGCUACCACAUCUAAGGAAGGCAGCAGGCGCGUAAAUUACCCAAUCCUGACUCAGGGAGGUAGUGACAAGAAAUAGCAAACCGGGAACCUCAUGGUUUCACGGUAUUGCAAUGAGAACAAUUUAAAACCCUUAGCGAGAAUCAAGUGGAGGACAAGUCUGGUGCCAGCACCCGCGGUAAUUCCAGCUCCACUAGCGUAUAUUAAAGUUGUUGCAGUUAAAAAGCUCGUAGUUGAACCUCUGUCUGGGGCUAGUUUUGGCUUUGGUCAGGCUAGUUCUAGGCAUCCGCCUACAAGACUUAGAGGGCAUUCAGUUGUUCACUAGGAGGAGUAGGCAUUUUACUUUGAAAAAAAUUAGAGUGUUUAAGGCAGGCAAUCGCCCGCAUAUAUUAGCAUGGAAUAAUAGAAUAGGACACUUUUCCAUUUCGUUGGUUAUUGGAAUCGUGUAAUGAUUAAUAGGGACAGUUGUGGGCAUUUGUAUUUAAUUGUCAGAGGUGAAAUUCUUGGAUUUAUUAAAGACAAACUAACGCGAAAGCAUUUGCCAAGGAUGUUUUCAUUAAUCAAGAACGAAAGUUAGGGGAUCAAAGACGAUCAGAUACCGUCCUAGUCUUAACUAUAAACUAUUCCGACUCAAUGUUUGACUGGCUUAUAUAACCAGUUGAGCGUUGUAUGAGAAAUCAAAGUCUUUAGGUUCUGGGGGGAGUAUGGUUGCAAAGCUGAAACUUAAAGGAAUUGACGGAAGAGCACAACCAGGAGUGGAUUCUGCGGCUUAAUUUGACUCAACACGGGGAAACUUACCAGGUUAAAACAAUAGUGGGAUUGACAGUUUGAGAGCGCUUUCUUGAUUGGUUGGGUGGUGGUGCAUGGCCGUUCUUAGUUGGUGGAGUGAUUUGUCUGCUUAAUUGCGUUAACGAACGAGACCUUAACCUGCUUACUAGACUGGCGAUCAUCAAUCGUUAGCUCUUCUUAG
rnacentral:rRNA from 1 species